AUUAAUUACAGUUUAGUGACAAAGGAUCCAUAAUCGAUACAAGGUUUGGGAUUGGAGGCAUGGCUUAGCAGGUAAACGGACUGCUAUGUCAGCAUGAGGAACUGAGGCUGAACCCUAGCACUUAAUGCAGACAUUUAUAAAGCGCAGUGUGGCAGCCUGGGGUUAAUGCCAAUGCUUCAGGGCAGAGACAGGGGUCGGGGGUUCUGGAGAUGCGCAGGUCAUCUCCAUCAAUGAAUUCCAGGUUCAAUGAGAGGUCAUGGCUCAAAAAUAAGGCAGGGAGGAAUUGAGAAAGAUACCUGGUGUAGAUAUCUGACGUCCAUAUGAUAUGCCCAUGUAUACACACACGCACACACACGCACACACGCACGCACGCACGCACGCGCGCAUACACACCGCAUUACAACAGAAUACAGUUUCAAAAAAGUAAAAUCCUAGUUAACACCAGCAGAAUACCAUAAACCAAAUUGCCAGGGGAUCUGUCCGACGGGUAAAGUUGUGGCUUAGAGUCAUAGAGUUCAUAGUCAACCCCGUUCAACAGACAUCUAAGAGGAGCACCACUUCCUUUCCUUUCAGCAGGGAGAAAGUCGUGUCAGAGUGGGAUGCUUCUUCCGGUUUUGUUGUACUGAAAUCUUUCAGCGUCUCUAAAGAGGCAAAAGAAUUGGAUUUCAGUGGACAAAUAUCGCCUUCAAAUUCGUGAGGAAGCCCCAACAAACUCAUGACUCAAUUUCCAAAAAGUGAAUUCUCCCACGAGGAACAAGAAAAUCCAGUUAGUACCAAGUUCUACAUCCAUUAUCCAAGCAAAAGGCCACGGAAUCAAAUCUAUCGGUACUGUUUAUGUUUGCCAAAUGAACCAUUUGAAAUAUUAAAAUGACAUCAAUACAGGUUUCUGGAGGAGCUCACUGACAUCAACAGCCCUGCCAAAAGUGAAUUGCAAACUUCUGAACAUUUGUCAUAUUUAGAAAGCUCUAUUUUUUUUCCUCCAGUUCUUUUCUU
rnacentral:lncRNA from 1 species